rnacentral:misc_RNA from 1 species
CUGAUCUCUACCACCGCUAACAAACGCUAUCACUCGCCGCCGCUCUUGUCCUCCUCCCAUUUUCCGUUGUUCACCCUCGUACGUGCAUCCCCAUUCUCAUCUCCACAAUAAGAGGCGGCCGUCCGCUGGCUGAGCUUCUUUCCUUCCUCCUGUCGGUAUCUGACUCCCCCUCUCCCGCCAACAUUCUCUCGCGAAAAUGCCGAAGAACAUGGGUAAGGGCGGUAAGUCCUUUAAGGCUGGUAACUCGAAGGGCAACAUGCAGAACCAGAAGCGUGACCUCACCUACGCCAACCCCGACGAGGGCGAGGAGUACGCGCAGGUAAAGAAGGCGCUCGGCAACCUCCGUCUCGAGCUCCAGCUCGCCGGUGGCUCCACCGUCAUCGGCGCCAUCCGCGGCGCCAUGGUGCGCAAGGUGUGGAUCGGCCAGGGCGACGUAGUGCUCGUGGCAAAGCGCGAAUUCAAUGAGAACGACGUAGUCGACAUUAUUCACCGCUUCACCCCGGCCGAGGUCCGCUUGCUGGUGAAGGAGAACGCCAUCCCGCGUGACUUCCGGUCAGCCGAGGAGCGCGAUAACAACGGCAACACCGAUUAUAUCUUUGUGAACGACGAGGAUGACGCACAGAACGACGACGAUGACCAGAAUGCGAUCGACCGUAAUGAGGUCAUCAUGGAUGACCCCCUCGCGGCCCUCGACAACCUCUAAAAUUGCUGUGACCUCAAAGGGAGACUGAAGAAAUGAGUCAAACAAUGCCAGAAACGAAGAAGAGGCCCCUCCCUCUCUCCUCCUCUACACACACCCCACACAGAGACAUGCUUGCGUGGGCUCAUGCUUGUAUGGAUGUAUGUGUGUGCGUGUGUGGAGGGUUAGGAGGGGAGGGAGGGCCUUUCUUCCUUGCACGGAGCCCUUUUAUCACGUGUCUCUCUCGUCAUGUUCGUGUAUGUCGGUGGUUCGUUUACGCGCUGGCGUUCCUUCGUUGCCUCUCCCUCUGUUGCGGCUCUUGUCACGGUGCCCCGUUCCUUCGUUUCUGAAGACUAACUUGUUCCUUUUUUUUUUGUCUCUCGGUGUAUGCGUCUGUGCUGAUAGAGUCGUGUUCCUCACUCCCUCUAUCACACACACACACACACACACACACACACACACACGUCAACUCUGUGUGCGUGUGCGUGUGUGUGUGCCUUUCUCUUGUCGUAUCUCCUCUUUGGCCAGACUCUGUAUGUCGCUCCUUCCUCUUCUUAACGCAUCUGUAAAGGAGCACGGUGACGGGCUUUCCAUCUCAUG